rnacentral:rRNA from 1 species
GAUGAACGCUGGCGGCGUGCCUAAUACAUGCAAGUCGAGCGAACAGACGAGGAGCUUGCUCCUCUGACGUUAGCGGCGGACGGGUGAGUAACACGUGGAUAACCUACCUAUAAGACUGGGAUAACUUCGGGAAACCGGAGCUAAUACCGGAUAAUAUAUUGAACCGCAUGGUUCAAUAGUGAAAGACGGUUUUGCUGUCACUUAUAGAUGGAUCCGCGCCGCAUUGGCUAGUUGGUAAGGUAACGGCUUACCAAGGCAACGAUGCGUAGCCGACCUGAGAGCGUGAUCGCACACACGGGAACUGAGACACGGUCCAGACUCCUACGGGAGGAAGCAGUAGGGAAUCUUACGCGAUGGGCGAAAGCCUGACGGAGCAACGCCGCGUGAGUGAUGAAGGUCUUCGGAUCGUAAAACUCUGUUAUUAGGGAAGAACAAAUGUGUAAGUAACUAUGCACGUCUUGACGGUACCUAAACAGAAAGCCACGGCUAACUACGUG